rnacentral:rRNA from 1 species
UACGUAGGGGGCAAGCGUUGUCCGGAAUCAUUGGGCGUAAAGAGCGUGUAGGCGGCUCGGUAAGUCCGCUCUGAAAGCCCGGGGCUCAACCCCGGGAGGCGGGCGGAUACUGUCGGGCUAGAGUCCGGAAGAGGCGAGUGGAAUUCCUGGUGUAGCGGUGAAAUGCGCAGAUAUCAGGAGGAACACCAAUGGCGAAAGGCAGCUCGCUGGGGACGGU